UACGAAGGGGGCUAGCGUUGCUCGGAAUCACUGGGCGUAAAGCGCACGUAGGCGGCUUUUUAAGUCAGAGGUGAAAUCCUGGAGCUCAACUCCAGAACUGCCUUUGAUACGUGUCGUCUUGAGUUCGGAAGAGGGUCGUGGAAUUCCCAGUGUAGAGGUGAAAUUCGUAGAUAUUGGGAAGAACACCGGUGGCGAAGGCGGCGACCUGGUCCGAUACUGACGCUGAGGCGCGAAAGCGUGGGGAGCAAACAGG
rnacentral:rRNA from 1 species